GUCCCCUUCUCCUUGUGCCCUCCAUCUUUCCCAACAUCAGGGUCUUUUCCAGGGAGUCUUCUCUUCUCAUGAGGUGGCCAAAGUAUUGGAGCCUCAGCUUCAUGAUCUGUCCUUCCAGUGAGCACUCAGGGCUGAUUUCCUUCAGAAUGGAUAGGUUUGAUCUUCUUGCAGUCCAUGGGACUCUCAAGAGUCUCCUCCAGCACCAGAAUUCAAAAGCAUCAAUUCUUCAGCGAUCAGCCUUUUUUAUG
rnacentral:lncRNA from 1 species